rnacentral:rRNA from 1 species
ACUCCUACGGGAGGCAGCAGUGGGGAAUAUUGCACAAUGGGCGCAAGCCUGAUGCAGCCAUGCCGCGUGUAUGAAGAAGGCCUUCGGGUUGUAAAGUACUUUCAGCAGUGAGGAAGGUGGGUAUGUUAAUAGCAUACUCAUUUGACGUUAGCUGCAGAAGAAGCACCGGCUAACUCCGUGCCAGCAGCCGCGGUAAUACGGAGGGUGCGAGCGUUAAUCGGAAUUACUGGGCGUAAAGCGCAUGCAGGUGGUUUGUUAAGUCAGAUGUGAAAGCCCGGGGCUCAACCUCGGAAUUGCAUUUGAAACUGGCAAACUAGAGUACUGUAGAGGGGGGUAGAAUUUCAGGUGUAGCGGUGAAAUGCGUAGAGAUCUGAAGGAAUACCGGUGGCGAAGGCGGCCCCCCUGGACAGAUACUGACACUCAGAUGCGAAAAGCGUGGGGAGCAAACAGGAUUAGAUACCCUGGUAGGCUCU